AUGGACCAUGUAUUGCACAACAAGUGUAAAGUAUUCUUUAUCGAUGGUCUAGGAGGUAGAGGAAAGACAUAUUUAUAUAAAGCUUUAUUGGCUAAAGUGCGCUCUAUGGGACUAAUAGCCAUCGCAACAGCAACGUCUGGUAUUGCAGCUUCUAUUUUGCCCGGUGGUAGAACUGCCCAUUCCAGAUUUAAAGUACCAAUAAAUAUUCAAGAAGAUACUGUUUGCAACUUUAGUAAGCAAAGUGGGACUGCAGAAUUACUUCGAAGAGCAUCUCUAAUAGUUUGGGAUGAAGUUGUUAUGACAAAACGACAAGCUGUCGAGGCACUUGAUAGAUCCCUCCAGGAUAUUACAGGUUGUACAUCACCAUUUGGAGGAAAAGCAGUAGUGUUUGGAGGAGAUUUCAGACAAGUCCUUCCUGUUGUUAGGCAUGGCACUAAAGCGCAGAUUAUAAAUGCUACACUCCAAAAGUCUUAUCUCUGGAAGGAUAUAAAAUAA
rnacentral:rRNA from 1 species